GAUGAACGCUGGCGGCGUGCCUAAUACAUGCAAGUCGAGCGAACAGACGAGGAGCUUGCUCCUCUGACGUUAGCGGCGGACGGGUGAGUAACACGUGGAUAACCUACCUAUAAGACUGGGAUAACUUCGGGAAACCGGAGCUAAUACCGGAUAAUAUAUUGAACCGCAUGGUUCAAUAGUGAAAGACGGUUUUGCUGUCACUUAUAGAUGGAUCCGCGCCGCAUUAGCUAGUUGGUAAGGUAACGGCUUACCAAGGCAACGAUGCGUAGCCGACCUGAGAGGGUGAUCGGCCACACUGGAACUGAGACACGGUCCAGACUCCUACGGGAGGCAGCAGAAGGGAAUCUUCCGCAAUGGGCGAAAGCCUGACGGAGCAACGCCGCGUGAGUGAUGAAGGUCUUCGGAUCGUAAAACGCUGUUAUUAGGGAAGAACAAAUGUGUAAGUAACUAUGCACGUCUUGACGGUACCUAAUCAGAAAGCCACGGCUAACUACGU
rnacentral:rRNA from 1 species